AUUCCAGCUCCAAUAGCGUAUAUUAAAGUUGUUGCGGUAAAAAAGCUCGUAGUUGGAUUUCUGUCGAGAACAGCCGGUCACGAUUUUGUCGUUGUAUCUGGUUUGGUCUUGGCAUCCUCUUGGGGAACAUUUCUGCGCUUCACUGCGUGGAGUGGUAUUCAAGACUUUUACUUUGAGGAAAUUAGAGUGUUCACGGCAGGCAAUCGCCCUGAAUAUAUUAGCAUGGAAUAAUGAUAUAGGACCUUGGUUCUAUUUUGUUGGUUUCUAGAACUAAGGUAAUGAUUAAUAGGGACAAUUGGGGGCAUUCGUAUUAACGCGUCAGAGGUGGAAUUCUUAGAUUGCGUUACGACGAACUACUGCGAAAGCAUUUGCCAAGGAUGUUUUCAUUA
rnacentral:rRNA from 1 species